rnacentral:rRNA from 1 species
AUUGAACGCUAGCGGGAUGCCUUACACAUGCAAGUCGAACGGAGUGGCGAACGGGUGAGUAAUGUAUCGGAACGUGCCCAGUAGCGGGGGAUAACUACGCGAAAGCGUAGCUAAUACCGCAUACUAUUGGAGCGGCCGAUAUCGGAUUAGCUAGUUGGUGGGGUAACGGCUCACCAAGGCGACGAUCCAUAGCUGGUGUGAGAGGGUGACCAGCCACACUGGGACUGAGACACGGCCCAGACUCCUACGGGAGGCAGCAGUAGGGAAUUUUCGGCAAUGGAGGAAAGCCUGAUCCAGCAAUGCCGCGUGUGUGAUGAAGGGCUUCGGAUUGUAAAGCACUGUUGGCAGGGAAGCGGUACCUAAAGAGUAAGCACCGGCUAACUACGUGCCAGCAGCCGCGGUAAUUC